GGUCCAUUAGUGUAGUGGUUAGCACGAAAGAUUUUGAUGCCUCUUCAAAACAUUUCUUUAGUCCCCGGUUCGAACCCGGGAUGGACCU